GGGUAACACAUAUCACUAAUGAUAUUCAUUUUUACAGUAAUCCAUCUUCCAGGAUAUCAUAAUCAGGGCAAAAAAAUUAAAAAGGAAAUGAAAAGAAAAGAAGAAAAGGUUAAGGCAUUAGAUACGCACAAGGAAAGCUAUCUACUGCAAAAACUCAACCAUUGCACUAGAGAAGAAGCUUAACAAAACAGAAUCAGACUCAUGCAGUUACAGUGAAUCUUCUUUUCUUUUUAACUCGCCAACCGCUACGUUGUUAAUGACAGUAAACACAGAUUUUCC
rnacentral:misc_RNA from 1 species